GACGAACGCUGGCGGCGUGCCUAACACAUGCAAGUCGAACGAAGAUAUUAGAUGAAGCUUGCGAUUCUAAUAUUUUAGUGGCGGACGGGUGAGUAACGCGUGGAUAAUCUGCCCAUAAGCGGGGAAUAACAGUUGGAAACGACUGCUAAUACCGCAUAAGCUGACGAAGACGAUGGUCUUUGUUAGUAAAGGAGGCCUCUGAAAAUGCUUUCACUUAUGGAUGAGUCCGCGUCUGAUUAGUUAGUUGGUGGGGUAACGGCCUACCAAGACCGCGAUCAGUAGCCGGCCUGAGAGGGUGAACGGCCACACUGGGACUGAGACACGGCCCAGACUCCUACGGGAGGCAGCAGUGGGGAAUAUUGCGCAAUGGGGGAAACCCUGACGCAGCGACGCCGCGUGAGCGAUGAAGGCCUUCGGGUCGUAAAGCUCUGUUUUAGGGGACGAAUGUCGAUGGGAGUAAUAUGUCCAUCGAAUGACGGUACCCUAAGAGGAAGCCCCGGCUAACUACGUG
rnacentral:rRNA from 1 species